GGUAGGGUGGCUGAGUUGAGGCGGUAGAUUGUAAAUCUAUAGACGAAUUUAAAGUUCCUCUAUUA
rnacentral:tRNA from 1 species